rnacentral:rRNA from 1 species
AUUGAACGCUGGCGGCAGGCCUAACACAUGCAAGUCGAGCGGAGCGGCGGACGGGCGAGUAAUGCCUAGGAAGCUGACUGGUAGAGGGGGAGAACGUCCGGAAGCGGGCGGUAAGACCGAAUACUAUCAGACGAGCCGAGGUCGGAUUAGCUAGUUGGUGGGGUAAAGGCCUCCCAAGGCGACGAUCCGUAACUGGGCUGAGAGGAUGAUCAGUCACACGUGAACUGAGACACGGUCCAGACUCCUACGGGAGGCAGCAGUGGGGAAUAUUGGACAAUGGGCGAAAGCCUGAUCCAGCCAUGCCGCGUGUGUGAAGAAGGUCUUCGGGUUGGAAAGCACUUUAAGUUGGGAGGCGUUACCCGCAGAAUAAGCACCGGCUAACUUCGUGCCAGCCGCCGCGGUAAUAC